GGGCAUGGGCGGCAGCUACACAUGCAGUCGAGCGGUAACAGGAGAAAGCUUGCUUUCUUGCUGACGAGCGGCGGACGGGUGAGUAAUGUAUGGGGAUCUGCCCGAUAGAGGGGGAUAACUACUGGAAACGGUGGCUAAUACCGCAUGACGUCUACGGACCAAAGCAGGGGCUCUUCGGACCUUGCGCUAUCGGAUGAACCCAUAUGGGAUUAGCUAGUAGGUGAGGUAAUGGCUCACCUAGGCGACGAUCUCUAGCUGGUCUGAGAGGAUGAUCAGCCACACUGGGACUGAGACACGGCCCAGACUCCUACGGGAGGCAGCAGUGGGGAAUAUUGCACAAUGGGCGCAAGCCUGAUGCAGCCAUGCCGCGUGUAUGAAGAAGGCCUUAGGGUUGUAAAGUACUUUCAGCGGGGAGGAAGGUGAUAAAGUUAAUACCCUUAUCAAUUGACGUUACCCGCAGAAGAAGCACCGGCUAACUCCGUGCAGCAGCCGCAA
rnacentral:rRNA from 1 species